UUUUUCAUAAUAAUUGUGAACUUUUUAUCUACUUAUUAAUUCUGAGUCUAAAUAAAAACAACAAGUUUAAAGUACAAUAAUAUUCAUAUCCGUCGGAUCAAACAAUCUAAUAUCAGUAAAUUUAUCGAGUAGUGGCGAACGAUAUUCGUUCAAUGACGUUAUUCAUAUUUCUAAUAAUUACUGUACGUCGCACAUAAAUAUAGAUUUAUUUUACAAAGAGCUCUAGUGUUUGUCGAUCUAUCAUUCUAACCUUUCAUUACUUGUGCGAAACUGUACAAGAAACUUACAUUCACAGUUUUUAAUAGUCAAUAAACAUUCAAUAAUAAUUAAUUUAAAUACAUACUAAUUUUAUAUCAAGUCAAAAAAAAAAACAGUUUAAUUCUUAUUCAAUUUGUGUUUGUGACAAUUCAUUUUACAACUAAUCAAUUUACAGAUAAUAUGUGUUGUAACGAUCAAAAUCAAACCGUCGAUAAUCACAUUCACAGUUUACGUUUAUUAAAGUUAUAUAAAUUAUUUCUUCACGUUUCAAUAAAUUAUUCACAGAAAUCAUACAGAAGAUCACGCUGCCAUACAAUAUGAUUCCAAACAUAAAGUUAAUAUGUA